rnacentral:tRNA from 1 species
CAGGAGGUAGCUUAAACCCAAAGCUCUUAACUUACAAUUAAAAAAUGUUCACCUAGAACCCGCCUGA